UCAAACCAUUCAAUCUAGGGUUUGCCUCCGUUUUCCGUCAUCCGUUGUUCUUCUUCUUCGAUUAGCUCGAUCUGUGCCAGUUUCCAAGGUUCCUCGUCGAUCCGCCUCGAUCUGAAGCAAUUGGGAUGAUGAAAGGGGGAUGAUGUUGACAGGUUUGGGAGAUGAAAGGGAGAUGAUGAAGUCAGUGAGUAUGGAUUUCUAGGAAGGUUUGAACUUGCCAUAACAAAUGAUGUUGACGGAGAUUUUACCUGUGAGAAGAGGUGCUCUGUGGAAUUGGAACUUCAGUUGGGGCUCUGACUCAGUGAGUUUGCUGGCUGAACUGAAAGGAAGAAUUGAAACAACCAGAAAUAAACAUAGGAGAAAGCUUAAGGAUGUAAGAGAGGCCAUUUGUUUAUGUUGUCUAAGAAAAAAGUGAAAUGCUGUUGGUGAAUUGCUGUGAAAGAGGGAAGUGUUGGCGGAUAUAUAUAGUGGGAGGGGUGAAAUAAAAUGAGGGAGAUGGUCUGAGUGGACUGAAUGAGGUGAUAAUGCGUUUGCGAUUUGGUAGUGAAAUUGAAGGGGAUUGAUUUGUAGGUUUGCAUUAACCGAGUGGUAAGGUUGGUGGAGACAGAGGAUAGCCAGCUAAGGGGAGAGUUGGCAUGGAUAAUAACAACACGAGAUGGCGACAUGAGGACAAAUCCCGUGUACCCUCAAACUCUUUGGCACAUAACAGAAAUCAAGGGGAGGGACCCUCACAUAUACAAUGUUUCAAUGCAGAAACUAUCUCUCCAAAAAUGAUUGUCUUUCUUGCUUCGACACUGCCUCCACCCAAAUCCGCAACUGCUCCAAAGCCAAUGGCGCCAGAGUUAUCUACAACGAUUGCUUCCUCAGGUGACAUACUGGGAGCAACUGAGUUAAGAGGACCAGUUAACUACAAAUAUAAUGAUUUGAAAGCUGGAACUAAAAAUUUCAGUGCUGAAAAUAAACUUGGAGAAGGAGGUUUUGGUGCUGUAUACAAGAAGUAACCGUUUUACUUAUGUUCAGAACAGAACAAGAUUUGUGUCGUUGGGUGCUGUGAGCAAUGAUUUAGUUGAAGAGAGUGUGGAAGGUGAUGACCUAAGGAGCAGAAUCUUAAGGCUAAGGCUCCCCAAGCGAAGCGCCACAAACAUUCUUCAGAAGUGGGUCCUUCAAGGGAAUCCUGUUACGCUCUCUCAGCUUCGAGAUAUUUCCAAAGAGCUUCGAAGAUCACAAGGGAAAGUAGUGCAAUUGCUGUUUGUUUUGUCAUAUCAUGCAGUAUGUAUUAGAUUCGUUUGGUUAAUUGUAGGUGUAGUGCAUUAGGAAUUCAAUUUUACACGUUGCUAUUAUUCGGUCAAAUUGACCUGUGUGCUUAAGCUGGUCGGUGAACUUGUUCUAGUGCAUUCACAAAUUGU